rnacentral:rRNA from 1 species
AGUGAACGCUGGCGGUAGGCCUAACACAUGCAAGUCGAACGGCAGCACAGUAAGAGCUUGCUCUUACGGGUGGCGAGUGGCGGACGGGUGAGGAAUACAUCGGAAUCUACUUUUUCGUGGGGGAUAACGUAGGGAAACUUACGCUAAUACCGCAUACGGCCUACGGGUGAAAGCAGGGGAUCUUCGGACCUUGCGCGAUUGAAUGAGCCGAUGUCGGAUUAGCUAGUUGGCGGGGUAAAGGCCCACCAAGGCGACGAUCCGUAGCUGGUCUGAGAGGAUGAUCAGCCACACUGGAACUGAGACACGGUCCAGACUCCUACGGGGGGCAGCAGUGGGGAAUAUUGGACAAUGGGCGCAAGCCUGAUCCAGCCAUACCGCGUGGGUGAAGAAGGCCUUCGGGUUGUAAAGCCCUUUUGUUGGGAAAGAAAAGCAGCAGGUUAAUACCCCGCUGUUCUGACGGUACCCAAAGAAUAAGCACCGGCUAACUUCGUG